rnacentral:rRNA from 1 species
CCCUUAGAUGUUCUGGGCUGCACGCGCGCUACACUGAUGCGUUCAACGAGUUUAUGACCUUGCCCGAUAGGGUUGGGUAAUCUUUUUAAAUCGCAUCGUGAUGGGGAUAGAUUAUUGCAAUUAUUAAUCUUCAACGAGGAAUUCCUAGUAAGCGCGAGUCAUCAGCUCGUGCUGAUUACGUCCCUGCCCUUUGUACACACCGCCCGUCGCACCUACUGAUUGGAUGACUCGGUGAAGAAUCGGGACCGUGAGAACAAUCGAUUCAUUUCGAAUGUACUUGUGGGAACCUUUCUUAACCUCGUUUUCUAGAAGAAGGUGAAGUCGUAACA